UGAUUUGAAGAGCUUGCUCAGAUAUGACGAUGGACAUUGCAAAGAGUGGCGAACGGGUGAGUAACACGUGGGAAACCUACCUCUUAGCAGGGGAUAACAUUUGGAAACAGAUGCUAAUACCGUAUAACAAUAGCAACCGCAUGGUUGCUACUUAAAAGAUGGUUCUGCUAUCACUAAGAGAUGGUCCCGCGGUGCAUUAGUUAGUUGGUGAGGUAAUGGCUCACCAAGACGAUGAUGCAUAGCCAAGUUGAGAGACUGAUCGGCCACAAUGGGACUGAGACACGGCCCAUACUCCUACGGGAGGCAGCAGUAGGGAAUCUUCCACAAUGGGCGAAAGCCUGAUGGAGCAACGCCGCGUGUGUGAUGAAGGGUUUCGGCUCGUAAAACACUGUUGUAAGAGAAGAAUGACAUUGAGAGUAACUGUUCAAUGUGUGACGGUAUCUUACCAGAAAGGAACGGCUAAAUACGUGCCAGCAGCCGCGGUAAUACGUAUGUUCCAAGCGUUAUCCGGAUUUAUUGGGCGUAAAGCGAGCGCAGACGGUUAUUUAAGUCUGAAGUGAAAGCCCUCAGCUCAACUGAGGAAUUGCUUUGGAAACUGGAUGACUUGAGUGCAGUAGAGGAAAGUGGAACUCCAUGUGUAGCGGUGAAAUGCGUAGAUAUAUGGAA
rnacentral:rRNA from 1 species